rnacentral:lncRNA from 1 species
ACAGCAGUCUUGGCCUCUCUCUGCAUCCUCAGGCUCCUCUGCUCACACGGAGCCCCAGUGGCCCCAUAAGUGCUUACCUCAUGCUCUGCCAGCGGCAUUUGGGAAGUGGGGACAAGCUCUACGACCCCUUGCGGCACUGUUGCUAUGACAGUGCUGUCGUGCCCUUGGGCAGGACCCAGAAGUGUGGAAACUGCACCUUCAGUGUCGCUUCGAGCAGUGCUGCCCCGGUCCCUCAGCUCCCAGGCGUCCCUCAUGGUGAAGACGAAAGGCCAGAAGUGCUCCUCAGCCCUGACCUCGGGUGACAGGCUUUCUCGUAGGUGAGAUCCGGUC